UUUGACAUUUGAGGGGUAGGUUUGAAACCCAUUUCUGAACACGAAGGCAAAUGAACAGAAAUUCCUGUUUUCUGAUGUUUAUGUGACCGGUUAUAAGUCAUCCCUCUUUGCCCUGGAUGAUACGACAUGUGCCAAGGUCUGCCAACGAUAAUGCCGAUCUCGACCAGCUUGCUAAAGGGGGUGUGCAACGAACACAAGAAUUCCUGUGAAUCAGCACUGAUGCAGCAAGUGAUAAUGAAACGCUGAUGCUCACUAAUGGAGAGCCGCAGGCGUAGAUUGCAGAUUUUGAUUUUCUGGUUGGAUGGUUUAGUUGUGAUCUUGAAACACAUUCUUAAUUUUGAGCUUUUGCUUUGCUUUGCUGUAUCUUGGUGAACAUCAUGUACAGGAGAUGAGCCUGAUUUGGGAGAUUUGUACAGGGUUACAUUUUGUUUGAUCAACCUCUCCUGAUACAUCGUCAAGUGGUUGAUUUGCCGCAGAUCCCUGUUUUUUGAAUGUUGUCAUGCUGCGGUGUUUCUUUUUGUACAGGAACUCUCACCAUUGUUCUUUUCUCAAUGAAUACAACCAUCCUCUUUUUGCCUUACCAAAAAAAAAAA